rnacentral:lncRNA from 1 species
CUGGAUUCUCACUUUCCUCUCCCCUUCCUGUAAACCAACUGCCUCGCCCUUGAUCUUUGUACUCUGUCGUCUUUCUUCAGGCUUUGUAAACAGAGAGGGAGAAGAAGAAAAAAAGAGCCAAAAGGAAAAAAUAAAUUCUGGAAUCAGACGAUACACUCAGUUAUUCAUUCAGCAACAUCGAGUGAGGCCUGCUGUGUGCCAAGAACAAUGGGGUACGAAAAAAAGAGUGAGUCGGUCUCCACUCACUUACGUAUUUAUCUACUCACUUCAUAAUAAGGCUAGAGCUCCCGCCAGGUUCCAGGCAUUGUGGUUGUGGCGAUGCCUGGGUGGCUUGGGCCCUGCCUGCUGGGGGACGGAGCCAGAGGCCCAGCAGCUGAAACCCAGCAGCUGAUGUGGUCGUGGUGAAGAUGACAGCGAGCCAAAGCAUGUGGAGUGCUGCGACGCCCCUGCCGGCAGUAGGUGCUGUGGAUUGUUGCUAUGAUUGGGGUGGGGGCGGACAGGAAGCCUGCAGAGGGGAGCAAUCCGUCACCUGUAGGAGCUCCGACUGUGGACAGGCGCCAGCAAACUGAGCAGAGGCGGAAAGACCGGGCUCCUGCCUGCGGGGAGCCAACAGCAUCCAGUUGUUGCUAAGAACUUGGAAUCCGAGAGACCUGGGUUCCAAUCUCAUCUCAUCUGUGUGACCUUGGACAAGUUAUUUGUCCUCGUUGAGCUCCACUGUUCUCAUCUAUAAAAUGGGCGUAAAGACAGCACAUUCGUUUCAGGGACGCGGGAGGCCUGACUGAGAUGAUCCUUGUAAAUAGCCGAGAAGACACAGCGCUGGAAAAGAGGUAGCUGUUAAGACCGUUGGUAAAAAGCGAAAGAGGGGGAGACUUUUAUAACAAGCAGGAGGAGGAUGUCCUCGGACCCUCUGGCUCACCUCUCGGUGGCUUCCCAUUGCUCUAGAAUGAAGAUGUACUUAGUCCCCUGGCUCUCCUUGACUCCAUCUGUCCUGUUGGACUAGAAAUGGCCUGGACAGCUGACUCGUCUGGGGUGGAGUCUGAGCGUACCCUGAAGCAUCCUUGUACAUUUGAAGCUGUUUCCUGGAUGAUUCUCUCUCACCAUGGCAUGUGAGUUUUACUAGUUUAUCACUCAGAAGUCCUCGUAUGUGAGGCCAUGAGAAACCUUCAUGUUGGACAGAGCUAACAAUUUGGGCAACUUCAUCAGCCUGCUGAGGAGAAAGCAUUGGCUGCCUGCAGUAUUCUCUUGGAGCAAUUUCUACAUGGUAAGAGAAGUCCUAGGUAGUAAAGACAUGGAAUUAAAGCUGUAUUAAAAUGUAGGAAACGAGACAUCUGGGGGGUCAGAGAGGUGGUGGGUGGAAUAACAGUGCCUAUCAGAAGCCCUGGCUCUUUCCUGAAACUUCCUGCCCGUCUACGCUGAAGGCCAUCACUAAAGAUUUCCAAGUGGACUUUUGCAGGCUUCCCCUUCAUUACUGCCGGUCAGUUACAAUCCUACCCAUUGUCAAGGUCCAUCUGAAUGCUCCAUUUUCUGUGAAGUUCUGCUUGAAUGCCCAGUUAGAAGUAAACACUCUUUUCCCCACGUGCUCAUAGUGCCCUUAAUUAGUUCUUUCAAUCUCUCUGUCUUUCCUAUCUGUCUAUUUAUCUCUCCC